UACGUAGGGGGCAAGCGUUAUCCGGAUUUACUGGGUGUAAAGGGAGCGUAGACGGCAAUACAAGUCGGAAGUGAAAUACCCGGGCUCAACCUGGGAACUGCUUUGGAAACUGUAUGGCUGGAGUGCUGGAGAGGUAAGCGGAAUUCCUAGUGUAGCGGUGAAAUGCGUAGAUAUUAGGAGGAACACCAGUGGCGAAGGCGGCUUGCUGGACGAUGACUGACGUUGAGGCUCGAAAGCGUGGGGAGCAAACAGG
rnacentral:rRNA from 1 species